UACAUAGGGGGCGAGCGUUGUCCGGAAUGAUUGGGCGUAAAGGGCGUGUAGGCGGCGGACUAAGUCUGGAGUGAAAGUCCUGUUUUCAAGAUGGGAAUUGCUUUGGAUACUGGUCAGCUUGAGUGCAGGAGAGGUUAUCGGAAUUCCCGGUGUAGCGGUGAAAUGCGUAGAGAUCGGGAGGAGCACCAGUGGCGAAGGCGGGUAACUGGACUGCAACUGACGCUGAGGCGCGAAAGUGUGGGGAGCAAAC
rnacentral:rRNA from 1 species